rnacentral:rRNA from 1 species
AACGCUAGCUACAGGCUUAACACAUGCAAGUCGAGGGGAAACGACAUCGAAAGCUUGCUUUUGAUGGGCGUCGACCGGCGCACGGGUGAGUAACGCGUAUCCAACCUGCCCACCACUUGGGAAUAACCUUGCGAAAGUAAGACUAAUACCCAAUGACGUCUCUAGAAGACAUCUGAAGGAGAUUAAAGAUUUAUCGGUGAUGGAUGGGGAUGCGUCUGAUUAGCUUGUUGGCGGGGUAACGGCCCACCAAGGCGACGAUCAGUAGGGGUUCUGAGAGGAAGGUCCCCCACAUUGGAACUGAGACACGGUCCAAACUCCUACGGGAGGCAGCAGUGAGGAAUAUUGGUCAAUGGACGAGAGUCUGAACCAGCCAAGUAGCGUGCAGGAUGACGGCCCUAUGGGUUGUAAACUGCUUUUAUAAGGGAAUAAAGUGAGCCUCGUGAGGCUUUUUGCAUGUACCUUAUGAAUAAGGACCGGCUAAUUCCGUGCCAGCAGCCGCGGUAAUACGGAAGGUCCGGGCGUUAUCCGGAUUUAUUGGGUUUAAAGGGAGCGUAGGCCGGAGAUUAAGCGUGUUGUGAAAUGUAGACGCUCAACGUCUGCACUGCAGCGCGAACUGGUUUCCUUGAGUACGCACAAAGUGGGCGGAAUUCGUGGUGUAGCGGUGAAAUGCUUAGAUAUCACGAAGAACUCCGAUUGCGAAGGCAGCUCACUGGAGCGCAACUGACGCUGAAGCUCGAAAGUGCGGGUAUCGAACAGGAUUAGAUACCCUGGUAGUCCGCACGGUAAACGAUGGAUGCCCGCUGUUGGUCUGAAUAGGUCAGCGGCCAAGCGAAAGCAUUAAGCAUCCCACCUGGGGAGUACGCCGGCAACGGUGAAACUCAAAUGAAUUGACGGAAGG